rnacentral:rRNA from 1 species
GUCUACGACCAUGCCACCCUGAACAAGCCCGAUCUUGUCUGAUCUCGGAAGCUAAGCAGGGUCAGGCCUGGUUAGUACUUGGAUGGGAGAUCACCUAGGAAGACCAGGUGCUGUAAAAA